rnacentral:rRNA from 1 species
GACGUAGGGCGCGAGCGUUGUCCGGAUUGAUUGGGCGUAAAGAGCUCGUAGGCGGCUCGUUGCGUCGGCUGUGAAAACCCGGGGCUCAACCCCGGACUUGCGGUGGGUACGGGCAGACUAGAGUGUGGUAGGGGAGACUGGAAUUCCUGGUGUAGCGGUGGAAUGCGCAGAUAUCAGGAGGAACACCGAUGGCGAAGGCAGAUCUCUGGGCCGUAACUGACGCUGAGGAGCGAAAGCGUGGGGAGCGAACAGG